UCAACUGUUCUCUACAUUUUGACCAGUUGC
rnacentral:piRNA from 1 species